rnacentral:rRNA from 1 species
GACCUGCGGAGGGAUCAUUACCGAGUUUACAACUCCCAAACCCCUGUGAACAUACCUAUACGUUGCCUCGGCGGAUCAGCCCGCGCCCCGUAAAAAGGGACGGCCCGCCCGAGGACCCCUAAACUCUGUUUUUAGUGGAACUUCUGAGUAAAACAAACAAAUAAAUCAAAACUUUCAACAACGGAUCUCUUGGUUCUGGCAUCGAUGAAGAACGCAGCAAAAUGCGAUAAGUAAUGUGAAUUGCAGAAUUCAGUGAAUCAUCGAAUCUUUGAACGCACAUUGCGCCCGCCAGUAUUCUGGCGGGCAUGCCUGUUCGAGCGUCAUUUCAACCCUCAAGCUCAGCUUGGUGUUGGGACUCGCGGUAACCCGCGUUCCCCAAAUCGAUUGGCGGUCACGUCGAGCUUCCAUAGCGUAGUAAUCAUACACCUCGUUACUGGUGAUCGUCGCGGCCACGCCGUAAAACCCCAACUUCUGAAUGUUGACCUCGGAUCAGGUAGGAAUACCCGCUGAACUUAAGCAUAUCAAUAAGCGGAGGAAAA